GGAAUUAUCUGAUGAUAGAGUGUAACAAGAUCCUGUUUUCUUUGCUUUUAUCAUUUCCGCUACAUAGUGAGAUGUAAAAGAAGCCUGUGUUUGGUAAAGAAUUUCAAGUCCCACCUAUUCCUAAACGUACAGACAAAAAGGAUCGGACGUAGGCUGAAAUUGUUCAUAUAUACAAUCUGGAAGCCAAACUGUGUGGAGCUAACUGAAGCCACAAAUAAUGGAUACGAAAAUGGAUGCUAUUUUCAGAGCCAUACCACUGAAUUGUUUUCCCUGGUUUGAAAAAAUACUGCUUUCUAUCUAUUUCACAUUUACAAUCAUCGCUCCUGGAAUUUCGAAAACAUUUGAUCGUCAAACUUCUUUUACUUGUAAUGGCAAGAUGAUUUCAAAAUUCCAAGAAACUUCUCUUAUAAAGAAUAUUGAAUCAAGAUGUUUGAGACAAUACCAAAAUGAAACUUGGGAUAAUAUAUAUGUGGUGUCCUUUAAUUUCUUUUUCCUCUUUUUUUGGGGUAUGAUCUGUGGACAGUCUGUGGCCAAUCGACUUAAAAACUUUGAUAAGUUCUUGUCAGAAAGAAGCAGUGAAGUCAGAAAGGUAUUAUGAGGCAGAGACAUACGGCAUAGGACGUUUGUAAACGA